rnacentral:rRNA from 1 species
GCUAGAGAAGAUUAGUGGCGGACGGGUGAGUAACAUUUAGGAAUCUGCCUAGUAGUGGGGGAUAGCUCGGGGAAACUCGAAUUAAUACCGCAUACGACCUACGGGUGAAAGGGGGCGCAAGCUCUUGCUAUUAGAUGAGCCUAAAUCAGAUUAGCUAGUUGGUGGGGUAAAGGCCCACCAAGGCGACGAUCUGUAACUGGUCUGAGAGGAUGAUCAGUCACACCGGAACUGAGACACGGUCCGGACUCCUACGGGAGGCAGCAGUGGGGAAUAUUGGACAAUGGGGGCAACCCUGAUCCAGCCAUGCCGCGUGUGUGAAGAAGGCCUUUUGGUUGUAAAGCACUUUAAGCAGGGAGGAGAGGCUAAUGGUUAAUACCCAUUAGAUUAGACGUUACCUGCAGAAUAAGCACCGGCUAACUCUGUGCCAGCAGCCGCGGUAAUACAGAGGGUGCGAGCGUUAAUCGGAAUUACUGGGCGUAAAGCGAGUGUAGGUGGCUCAUUAAGUCACAUGUGAAAUCCCCGGGCUUAACCUGGGAACUGCAUGUGAUACUGGUGGUGCUAGAAUAUGUGAGAGGGAAGUAGAAUUCCAGGUGUAGCGGUGAAAUGCGUAGAGAUCUGGAGGAAUACCGAUGGCGAAGGCAGCUUCCUGGCAUAAUAUUGACACUGAGAUUCGAAAGCGUGGGUAGCAAACAGGAUUAGAUACCCUGGUAGUCCACGCCGUAAACGAUGUCUACUAGCCGUUGGGGUCCUUGAGACUUUAGUGGCGCAGUUAACGCG